UUUUAGAGUUUGAUUCCUGGCUCAGGAUGAACGCUAGCGGCAGGCUUAAUACAUGCAAGUCGAACGGCAGCGGGUCGUAGCAAUACGAUGCCGGCGAGUGGCGCACGGGUGCGUAACACGUAUGCAACCUACCCUUUACAGGGGAAUAACCUUGAGAAAUUAAGGCUAAUACCCCAUAGUAUUAUGAUGAGGCAUCUUAUUAUAAUUAAAGAUUUAUCGGUAAAGGAUGGGCAUGCGUCCCAUUAGCUAGUUGGUAAGGUAGCGGCUUACCAAGGCUAUGAUGGGUAGGGGUUCUGAGAGGAUUAUCCCCCACACUGGUACUGAGACACGGACCAGACUCCUACGGGAGGCAGCAGUAAGGAAUAUUGGGCAAUGGGCGCGAGCCUGACCCAGCCAUGCCGCGUGCAGGAAGACAGCCUUAUGGGUUGUAAACUGCUUUUAUAUGGGAAUAAACUACUCUACGUGUAGGGUAUUGCAAGUACCAUAUGAAUAAGC
rnacentral:rRNA from 1 species